UGGCCAAUCAGGGACCAGGAGGGCCAUAUAAAAAGGAGCAGUAGCAACAAAGUCAGUCACUUGCUGUCUGGAGUUGGAAGAGAUUGGACUUUGUUCCUGGUUGUCUGAAAGAGUAGCAGGACCAUGCACAGCUCAGUGUGGGCAGGGACCGGGGAGCAAAGAAGGAACUUCUGGCUGGCAGGUAGGAUUGAGUCUAGGGAGGGCUGCAGGAAGACAAUGCCUCCAAGGAGGAAAAGCUCAUCAAAACAAGAAAUGUCUCAUUUGGGGUGAAAUCCAUGGGAAACGUUACUGGGCAGAAGGGCAGUGAGAUUUGAACCAAAUAAACAGAAAAAAGAAUGUGGAACAAAGAGUGAAGACAGAGUUGGAGGAGAAAGACAAGGACAGAUAUGUAACAGAAGAAAAAAUGGACUUUGAAUCAAUUUGCAAGAAAUACUCCACCAGAGUGAGAAGUGCAGGCGGAUUUGGUGGGAGUGUCAGCCAUUGACUUACCGCAGUGAAGACACCAUGGAAGGACUGACAAGGCUACAACAACACUGCAAACAGUGGA